UGCGUAGGCGGAUUUAUAAGUCAGUGGUGAAAUCCUACAGCUUAACUGUAGAACUGCCAUUGAUACUGUAGAUCUUGAGUACGGUUGAGGUGGGCGGAAUGUGUCAUGUAGCGGUGAAAUGCUUAGAUAUGACACAGACCACCAAUUGCGAAGGCAGCUCGCUAAACCGUAACUGACGCUGAGGCACGAAAGCGUGGGGAGCGAACAGGAUUAGAUACCCUGGUAGUCC
rnacentral:rRNA from 1 species